rnacentral:ncRNA from 2 species
CUUUCCAAUCGCGCCGAUUUGAAGGUCAGCUUGCGGGCGCGUUAGAAAUUCAGCUAAAGCGACGGCGAACCCGGUCGG